UUCAUAUUUACAUACCUGGUAUGUUUUAAUGUGGUGAUGUAGAGGGGCUUGAUGUAGGUUACGAUGUGAAAAAGUGUACGAAGGUCGGGGGUCAAUGUCUUAUCUAUGAUGUAGACUAAGGUGUGUCAUAGCUUCUGUAUAGGCUACGAUGAUAAGGUGGUAAUGUGUCCAAAAAAAAUUCGAAGCUCAGUGGACGAUGUCUUAUCGAUGAUGUUGCGAUGUGAUUGAUGUCACAAUGACCCGAACAACACAUCUGCUUUUUUCGGGAAAGUUCGAAUUUCCUACCCACCAAAUUGUAAAUCUUACGACGCAGAUCUCAUUAAGAAGCUCAUAAACACCCUAAGGUCUAAAGUAAAGAUCUGGUAUGCAUCAGCAAUACCGGAGAAUAUGCGCCUACGAGAAUACACAAGUACAAGAUUUGAAAUAAUAGAUUUCCUAUCCCAUAAGAACCAUGGUAAGAAGGAAAAUCCGGGAGUACAAAAUUGGUACAUAAGGACCAGCCAUAUGAACACACCGGACAUACUCGGAUAAUUAACACAUGGCGGACACCAAAACAAAAGAGCGUCGUUCGAAAUCGUACCAACUUUGCAUGUAGGAACUAGUAAUCAUACCAACCUAAUAUUUUCCUCAACAGAGCAUCUUACCACAAUCUUGAUCAGAUCGUUAUACUCUUCGUGUUACACUAACUCGUAUUAAAUAAACAUAACAUUAUUCUGUAUUUUAAAGUGCUAGUGAUUCUCUUCGUGUAUACUAAAGAGUGAAAAUGAAUAACCUAAACGAACUA
rnacentral:lncRNA from 1 species